ACCCUAACCUUUGAGCUCUCUCUCUCUCUCCGCUUUGUCUCUUUAUUCCUCAAACCUCUCCCUUACAAGCCAUCCCCAAUCGCUCAUUUGCUUUGUUUAAAGCUUUAUCUUAGCUUGCUUUGCUCGCUCUUCGCCGAUUUCGGCGUAUUUUCAGCAAAGUGAAAAGAAGUCGAGUUAAUGCUUCUAUGUCACAUAAGAGUGAGACAUUUUUGCAAAAAGCCAUUCAAGAGCAAGGUCGAGGUAGGGUGUUGGACACGAUACAAGAGAUUCAAGAGAGACAUGAUGCUGUGAAAGAUAUAGAGAAAAAUCUCAAAGAGUUACACCAAGUGUUCUUGGACAUGGUCGUGUUGGUCCAAGCUCAAGGCAAGCAAUUGGACAACAUUGGGACCCACGUGAA